ensembl:lncRNA
GCAUAGCACAGCAAAAGAGAGCAAAGCAAAAGAAGGCAAAGAAUGACAAAAAGCAACCUUGCAGGAAUGGAGGAAUCUGCCAGAGCUGUGCCCCUGCUUGCCACAGGAGCUGCGCGGGAGGAGAAGAACGUGGGCCAAAAGGAAUGGAGGAAUCUGUCCAGAGCUGUGCCCCUGCUUGCCACAGGAGCUGCGCGGGAGGAGAAGAACGUGGGCCAAAAGGAAUGGAGGAAUCUGUCCAGAGCUGUGCCCCUGCUUGGCCACAGGAGCUGCGCGGGAGGAGAAGAACGUGGGCCAAAAGGUAAGAGGAGCUCCUUUGGGUUCUGGGCUUGAAGCAAAGCUGAGAAGCCAUGCCCGGGAGGAGGUGUGGGUAGCUACAGGCCACCUUGCUAUCUCCCCAAGAGAUGAGGUGUGGGCUAGGCACCGGGCAGGAGUGCUGGCCAGAAGCAAGCAUCUCUGUGGAGGAAGGCAAAGGGCGGAGGAGGUUCAAGGGUAGCUACCGGGCAUGGCCUUGCUCAGCAAGGGGAGGAAAAGCCUGAAGGGCACGAGAAGGGGAUAGAGAAGGGCAGGCAGUAGGCGUGAAGCUGCGAGCAGAGUAGAGAGCAACUUGGCAGAGCAGCAAGCAGAGUAGGCAAGUGUUGAGGUUUGGCGUGAGUAGCAGCAGCAAAAGCCCAGAGCAUCAAGAAGCAGGAAGUGAGGAGAAGGUAAGUGAAGGGCAGGCAAGGUAAUGGGAGGCAAAGGCAAGGGG